rnacentral:rRNA from 1 species
UGGGGAAUCUUGCGCAAUGGGCGAAAGCCUGACGCAGCGACGCCGCGUGAGUGAUGAAGGCCUUCGGGUUGUAAAGCUCUGUGGAGGGGGACGAAUAAGUCGGAGCGAAUAGCUCCGAUGAUGACGGUACCCCUUUAGCAAGCACCGGCUAACUCUGUGCCAGCAGCCGCGGUAAGACAGAGGGUGCAAACGUUGUUCGGAAUUACUGGGCGUAAAGCGCGUGUAGGCUGCUUGGAAAGUCGGAUGUGAAAGCCCUGGGCUCAACCUAGGAAGUGCAUUCGAAACUUCUGAGCUUGAGUAUCGGAGAGGAAGGCGGAAUUCUCGGUGUAGAGGUGAAAUUCGUAGAUAUCGAGAGGAACACCGGUGGCGAAGGCGGCCUUCUGGACGAUUACUGACGCUGAGACGCGAAAGCGUGGGGAGCAAACAGGAUUAGAUACCCUGGUAGUCCACGCCGUAAACGAUGGGUGCUAGGUGUCGCGGGCUUU